rnacentral:lncRNA from 1 species
AUUUUUUUCCAUAUGAAAAAAAGAAAAAUUGAACCUUUUCAUCCCUGAUUGCAUUUCACAAUUAAAAAAUCUCUUUAUUACAUGUCCAGAAAAAAAAAUUAAAGAAAAAUUAGAAGUCUAAUUGAAAACCAUAAGGAACUCGACAUAAUCGAAAUAUUCAAAUCGUAUGAACCAAACGGAAGAUGAUCCGAAAUUCGAAAUUCCGACAUCAAAUUUCAGAGGAGGCAAACGGAUCUAACGGGGGUGAGAUCCGGCAGCUACCUUUGGAGAAGAAGC